CUAAAUUAGAACACAAAGAUCACAGAGAACUUACUUUUAAAAGCCUUUAGUGUUUGCUAAGCUACCAUUUCAGCAGGUGGUGGCCAGCCUCGUUUUAAGCAAACUAACUUAGUGGAGCCUGGAGCUGUUGUGCGCAGGUCCCACUUAGAGUGUUGUGUGGACAGUCUCAGUGAUGGAUGGCUCCUGUAGAGCCCUGCUGACCCACCUGAGAUCUACAGGUGGACUUUGUACCAGCGCCAAGCCGGCUCCCCAGCCUAGUCUGCCGAACGCAAACCACUGAGAGUUUGCCGAGCCUCCCCCGGGGGCGCGGGCCGCCCAGUCCCAC
ensembl:lncRNA